rnacentral:rRNA from 1 species
UUAAGAUGUAAAAAUUAAUGAGAAGAUUAAUAGUUAAGUUCUUUAAACUUAAAAAAAUUGGCGGUAUUUAACUCUAAUUAGGGGAAUUUGUCUUUAAAAUGAUAAUCCUCAAGAAACCUUACUUUAAUUUAUUUAAUUUAUUUAUUUCCGUUAACAGAUUAUUUUUUUUUAGAAUAAAAAUUUUCUAAAAUUUUUAUUAGAAAUUAUUUCAGGUCAUUAUGUAGUUUAUAUUAAAGUUAAGAUGAAUUACAAUAAAAUAAAUUUAUAUGGAAAUUUUAUUGAAAAUAUAAAAUUAAAAGUGGACUUAAUAGUAAAAUAAAAUAUUAUAUUUAUUUGAAUUUAGAAUUAAAUAUGU